UUUUGAGGGCUGCCCCUGUGAUGUAUGCAAGGUCACACACUCAGAACUGAGCUGCCUGCUUCAUUACACCACAGCCACAGAAACACUGGACCUAAACUGCAUCUGCAACCUAUGGCACAGCCUGUGGCAAUGCCAGAUCCUUAACCCACUGAGUGAGGCCAGGGAUCGAACCCACAUCCUCAUGGAUACUAGUCAGGUUCGUAACCCACUGAGCCACAAGAACUCCCAGAUAGGCAGGUAUCCUUGAAGAUAAUGGUACAGUAAAAAUAACAGGUCUUUUAGUUGGCAGGUGGCAUGGAUACAAUCAAUCUCCAUCCUGACACUAACUUUAUGUGACGUGACCACAUGUUUCAGGCUUUGAGCCUCAUUUCCUCAUCUCAAAAGUGGGAUGAGGUUUACCCUGAGAAACUUGCAGUGAGAAUUAAGUCCACCAUGAAAUCCCAACACUGUAAAAAAUGUGCAGUGUUCCUGGUAUAAUUCUUUUAAUGUUUUGGUGCUCUAGAAAUGUACUUUUUCUUCUUUUUCAACUAAAUAAAAAGUUUAAGUGAAAUAUGCAAAAAAAAAUGUUAUUCUUGUGUUUUUCCUGGAAAGGACAGCAAGGAGGAUAAUAACUAAUCUUGAAUUGAUACCAUAUGAAGGAAUAUUUGAUCGCCCUGUAAAUUUUAUUCUCAUUUUUUCCCUUAGACAUGUAUUUAUCUAUUUCACCAUAGCUCUGUCACUACUCCAUCAAAGUACAAAUACUUUAGCCGCACUUAAAAUCCCAUUUCCAAGCCAUCUUUCUAAAAAGGCAUUUUAGAUAAAGUGGGAAGAACCAUAAACCUACAUUCGACCUAUGUAUUUUUCUUCCAUAAUGUGUUUCCAUUAAUGAUAACAUUUUCAUCAGUAUUUGAUGGAUCCUUCCAAGAAAGCAAUGUGCUCUUAAUCUCAGAAAUCCGUCUCUUAUCCACUGAGACCUCAUAUGAAGGCUUGGGGCGUUCGAAAGCCAGCAUCCAGGAGCUGGCAGUGACAACAGAAAAGAUAGUUUAUUUACUUCAAGCACUGGGUCAACUUAUCGCCACCCAAGAACAGCAGGUAAUUUGAAGGCUUUCACUCUGUUCGUGGCCACUGAGGUCAGCACUGAACAUUUUACAGAACUGCCCCCCGAGGGACCUCCUCGAACAGCUCUUCCUAAAUCUGUUCGGGUCUAUCUAUGCACCCGAAAUAAGAACUGUAUAUUUUACAUCUCUAUGCAGGUUUACUGAAAAUCCUCUUCUGAACGUGUAUUGAUUGUUUUAACAAUACAGAGAGAAAACUGAAACAUGCGUUUCUAAGAAAAAAAAUUAAAGAGCUUUUCUCUUGUCUUUUUUUUUUUUUUAAUUGAAGUAGAGUUGAUUUACAGUUUUGUGUUGGUUUCAGGUGUACAGCAAAGUGAUUCAGUUAUACAUACAUAUACACUUAUUUUUUCAGGUUAUCAUAUCUUAAAGGCUAUUACAAAGUAGUGCAUAUAGUUCCUCUCAACUUUUUUUUGAUUCAUUACAUGGUAUAUGGAGAAAAACACACUUAGUAUCAUGAGAUUCCUGGCCAAACAAAGGAGGAUAAAAAAACUGAAAGGUAUAUUUUAGUUCCAUAAGGGAAAGAAUCCUACCACAAACUCAAACGGAAAAGACAGCCCUCUAAAACCAGAAGCUUGCUAUCAGUGGGAGUGUUCAGGUAGAAUCUGAACGACCAUCCAUCAAGAAUACUGGAAAUAAAAAUUCCCUAUGUGGUGGUGGCAUCAGAAGCUCAUUACAGAGUUUUGAGCAACAUGGCAUAGUUUGGACUGAGCUAUCAGAAUCAAUGGUCAGCAACAACUAUAUGAGUAUUAACUAUGAAUAUUAACUAUGACUAUCAAUUUAGGUAUAAAAAUUAGAAAAAUACUUCUUAUUUUCUAAAAAAGGUCAUUGGGCAUUCUAAAAAUUACAGAUCCCAACCAUAACCUUACAAGUGCUGCUGAUUGCAGUCGUCAGAUGAAAAGAUGUGAGAAUCUCUUUAUUUUCUCACUUUUUGCAUCUUAGGAUCGUGUGCUCUUUUCCCUCCCUCUUUUUUCCCCUUUUUCUAGCACAGUACCUGUAAAUGGUUGAGGGUUUGGUCACAGCAGGACUGUGACCAGCAAAGGAGCUGUCCACUUGAGUUUGGGGAAGAUCCGCUGGUGUCCAGAAGAAGACAAAGUCUCUGAGCUCGAGGCACAUUUAUGCUGGUUUGUCCUGGCCCGCCCGGGUCCCCAGGGGACUCUCUGUUAGGCUAGGGACACGACUUAGCUUGGCUCUUCUGGGGACCAAAUCCUAGAACCCAUGCGUGAGGAGAGCCCAGAUGGAGAAGAGCAGCUGUCUAGGAGCGCGUAGGCCUGCGAGUGUGUUCAGAAUGUGGUGUAUGGCAUGUGGUUCAGGAACGCUGCUCUUCAUGGUUAAAGAACAACUCAGACUGAAAAUUAAAGAGCAUCUGCAGCAACAGAAGGCAGAGACGACUGCAGCUAUAAUUACACUCAAAUUGCUAUGGUUUGUUUCAGAAUCAAUAAAGUAUUUUAAUUCCCAGGGACAGUGGGACCUCCAUAAACAAAGCUUAAACUAGAAAUAGAAGUUUUGAUGUCAUAGAUGCAACAAGGAUCCACAAAAAGCUGCCAGAAAUGUGUGCAGAAAAUAACAUAUUAAUUGACUAAAUUAAGACUACUGUUUGGGGAAUGAGAUACGUAAAAGGAAAAAUAGAGAGGUAAGAUUAAAGCAGAAACAAGCUAUGAGCUCCAGAAAAAAAAUGAAUAAUACCAGGUUUAGGAGAGACAGAGCUUCAGAAAGACUUGGCAGAAGUAAAUACUUCAAUUUGAGUGUAAAUAUAAAAGAGGGAAAACUGCUAAGAACUAUUUUAUUGAAGGACGUAAUCAGAUGUAAACUUCCUGGAGGCAGUGACUGGGGCUGACUGUUCACUGUUUCCCCAGUGCCUGCCAAACUGUGGGUCUUAAAAGAUUUUAUGUGAAUAAAUGCACACACACACACACACACACACACACACACACACACACACAUAUACAAAGGGUCUUUGUCAAACAUCCACUCUAGACCCUAGGCUUAGAAUAAUAUUCCAAAGGGAAGCCACAGUCAUAAAACCUAUGAACUUGCCAAAGUCUUCAUUCAGCCAUAGCCCAAACUGUAAAAUACAGUCAGGGUACUCAAAUCAACUUAAUUCUUCCCAUCGUAGUUACCGCCAGCCCAGAUCAAGGUGUCACUACACUGUCCUGGAAAACUGCUACCACCUCCGCACAGGUCUUCUCCCUCCACCCCUUCCAUUCUUUGUCUCAACCCAUCUUCUUCACUGCAGCCACGAGGAUCCUUUUAUUUAUUAUUUUUAUCGAAGUAUAGUUGAUUUACGAUAUUGUGUUAGUCUCGGGGGUAGAGCAAAGUGAUUCCGUUAUGGAGCAGACUUGGGGUUCCCCAUGGGGAAAGGGGACCGAGGGGGAUGGAUGGGCAUUUGGGGGUUUUUUGCAUGGAAAUUAUUAUAUUUGGAAUGGAAUAUAUAUAUGAGAUCCUCCUGUGCAGCACAGGGAAAUGUGUGGGUGCCUGGGUCACUUUGUUGUAUGAUCUUUUUAAAUGAUCUUUUUAAACAAGGAACUUUUUCAACACAAACCUGAUUAUGUCACUUGUCUGCGUAAAAUUUCCACUGUCCUCCUCUUGUUUUCAGGAUAAAAUUGUGACUCCUCAGGGGCCUUCCCACCCCUCGUGGGCUACUGUCCCAAACUUGGGCAGCACUCUGCCUCCCAUCUCUGUACUCCAGCCACAAAUGAACUUCCUCCAGUUCUUCAAGUGUAAGAUGCCUCGGCCCAUCUUAAGAUCCAAAGAUCCACGCAUGUUCACACAUCCUGCCCCACUUCCUGUAGCAUCACCACCCCGACUGCAUGACUCCUCUUUCUUUUCUCAGCUAGUUGGCUCCCAUUCAACACUCAAAAUAAGUUUCAUUUUAAAAGAAAAUCCCCUCAACCCCCCCGACCAGAUCAAACCCAUGUUAGGUGCCCUAUGGAAAUCUGUUCCUACUGGACAGCACUUAACGUCCAAGGUGGUCACGCAUCUGAACACUGCCUGCUUGAGCCACACCUCCUCAACCAGAACAUAAACUCUCUGACACAUGGGUGUCUCUUUUGCUCACGUCUCCUCAGAAUCCAGCACAAUCUGGCACAGUUUAGCCUCUCCAUAAAUCCACUUUGUUGUAUGAAUAUAGAAAAGGCCGCAUAUCUUCUUUCUAUUGACCAGAAUUUAAUGCAGACGUUUGAAUAUUUAGUUGUGCGGUUGUUACUGUUGCUGAAAAUGUCCACCUUGAGAUCCCUCAGUGGACAACCUGUGAAAGCUACUUCCUUAGUUUGUAUUUUCAAACCUAACAUAUAAACAGCCUGUUAUGUGUCAGGAAAUAUAUUUUAAUCAGAUUCCAUGAUUCACUGCACUCCUGGUUUUUGUUUGUGUCUUUGCUUUUAAUAGAGCCUAAAGGUCCAGACUUGGGAGUUUUACCUUCUGGAAACAUCCACCAUAAAGGCGAGUUGUCUCAAGGAUUAAAUUUCCCUAGCAAGCUUCCUCCUCAAAGCCCAGGAGAGAUCUGCCCCUUGUGUCACUGUCCUUUUUCUCCAUCAUCUCACAAAAAGACCAUUAAAAACCUAUCCUUAUGGUUUUAAUUCGGGUACUUUGAUUAUGACCGUCAUGUGACUAGGAGUUCUAAAACACACGAGAAGUGAAUUCAACAUCGUAUAACUUCAUUCAUUCCUUCAGAAGCACGCAUGGGAUGUGCAUGUUCACAGGACACUGAAAGGUGUUACGGAUAAAAAGUAAAUAAAGGGUCAUCUUUAACCAUGGGAUCAACUAUUUUCAGUCUUUUUAAAUCUGUAUUGCACCGCUGUAUCAACAUGGGAUGUUGAGAAAAUUAUUUCAUCUAGGUCUAAAUUCCUCACUUGUGAAAUUGAUAGGGAUGGAGUAGGCGCAGGUAGUUGCAGAAGUCCCAGUAAGGGGCCAUAGAUAGAGAGGAAACCUAGGGGACUUUGGGAGACCCCAUAAGUUAAUAAUUGCCCAAGAAAGCCAUCAGAAGGAAGCACGCCUGUUUGACUAAUGGAGUCACGAGAUAGGCCUCAGGUCAUUUGGGGAGGGGGUGGGGUGAGGCCUACAUCCAGGUUUCAGGCCGAGGACAGGAGUUUGAGGACCACCCUUCUGCUGAUUUGAAUAAGCCCCAGGACAGUCCUAGUUUGAUGUUAUAGGGUCAAAUACUCUCUCACCUGAUACCAGGGAGGAGCUACUACUCAAAGGAAGAGGAGGAGGCGGUCUUUUCCCACCCCCACUCCCCUUGAUGUUAAAACUGUAGCCCCCCUGAUCCUGGGGCAGAGUGUCCUUGCCUGCCCGCUUGCACCUCUCCCAAGCCUCCUAUCUUCAUCGAUUCCUCGCCUAUCACUUCGUCGCCUGCUGAAGUCCUUCUGCGCAGAGGCAUAAAGAACAUGAACCUCAGUGAGUCCAGACACCACUGGGGAGUGAUUCUAAUUUAAAACUGUGGGUUUAAGUCCUGAUCUGGGUUUAGGCUAAGUUCAUUAACGCUGUCAGUUUCAAAAUCAGACUAAUAUUCUGGUGAUUACUGUGAUAAUUAUACAAAUCAAAGUACAUAUGUAUGCGUGCGUAUGUAAAACAUACAUAUUCUGCAAAUAGCUACACAUAAACAGUACCUAUAUGUCUCACAAAGUCAGGCACGCAAUAUACAAAAAUUAUACUUGUUAGGAUAAUCCACAGUGUCAAUGUUUAUUUAUUAAAAACGUACUCUGUGGUACUACUUUAGGUCUCAAAUGCUUUCAGUCAUUUAAUCCUUAAAACUCUAGGAUCCCCGUUUUAUUGUGACACCAAGGCCCAGAAAGGGGCAAAGUGCCUGAGUACAUAUAGACAGAAGGUGGCAGAGAUGAACAAUGAAUCUAGGCACCCUUACUCCAGAGACAAUGCAUUUAACCUCAGGCUACACUAAGACUUUAACUGCCAAAAAGCGUAUCAAGAGCUAACUACAAUACACCUUUUCAUUUUUUUAUAACAGUAGUGGGGCAAAUUUUCAUGUAGUUUGACUCAAGGAAAUAAACGCAGACCUUCUGAUAAGGGUGGAGGAGUUUAAACGGGAGCUGUGUCUUGAAGGAUAAAUUCAAGAUAAGUUCUUUCCAGGGAAGGAAGGCAAUGGGGCAGAGAGAAAUAUUGUAAGCAAAAACAUGACCAUAUAAAGGGACCUACUGAUCGAAUGAAGGUUGGACCCUUAAUGCAUAAAGCAAAGAGUGCAAGGGAUACACAGACUAAGAGAAACAGCACAAAAAGUAAUUCGCAAAGCUCUGUUUUGCUGUCCUGGAGCUUCUGCGAGUCGGACACGGUCAAAUUGCUUUUUAAUUUUUAGGAAGAUAAUUAUGACAUCAAUGUAGAGAAUGCAUUGAGCAUAGUUAUUAAGAGUUAAUGUUUUGGAAAUAUCAGUCGAAACUGGGAAAUGAGAAAAGCUUAAACAUGGUGUUUCAUCCAGUCAAAGAAGGGAGAGAUCCACAGCCCAGACAGCGACCUCUGGGAAGCUCCUGGACUAAACUGAAGGAAAACAAUGAGGAAAAACACACAUCCAGAUAAUACUUUACAAAUGUUCUAGCCGGCAGAGUUAGGUUAGGGCAGAGAAGGGGUCAAGGGCCCUGACGGCAGGAAACCACAUAUUAUGCAGACAGCAGGGGCCCAGGGCAGACAAAGAAAAGCUUGACCCUCCAGACUGACAGGAAACCACACGUGGUGAAUGUUAAGUGCCCUGGAGGAAAGGGGGAAAGGGGCCUGAAUCCCCAGCUUCCAAAAGUAACCUGUAGCUCAUUAUGCCCUCAUUACAAUACAAUUAUAAUAAAAUUAGCUACGCAGAUAAGAAGUUCCCAUCAUGCACCCUACCAUGACACUUCUGAUCAAAGCUGAAUAAGGACAAAAAUCUCCCCUCUCUUUGGGAAGGUGAAGCUGGAAUGAAAAUUAAAGAAUAAGACCCCCCCCAGUCCCCCUUCCCACUGAAUACUCUGCCCAUAUGCCACUGGAGGUCUCUUUAAUAGGUGUGCCAGGGAAACACAGGGCGGCUGCUCCCUCCUCUGCCUCCCUGUCUUUAAGAGGUGUAUUUCUCACGUAAAUCAAUCCUCUUUAGUUUCUCAAUUCCAUCUCAUUUCUGAAUUCCUUCUGCUAUAAAAUGAGAACCUAGCCUUCCGGGACACAAACUGUAAAUCACAAAAAGACAUCAACGCAUUGAAGUUCCGCAGGUGUUUACUGGGGGCCUCUGUCACAGAACCAGCGG
ensembl:lncRNA